rfam:Aedes albopictus isolate Foshan contig118164, whole genome shotgun sequence.
UAGCCUAGUGGUUAAGGCUAAGGAUCGCCAAUCCGGAGACGGCGGGUUCGAUUCCCGU